GAAACCAACAGGGAUUGCCCCAGNUAACGGCGAGUGAAGCGGCAAAAGCUCAAAUUUGAAAUCUGGCCUCCUACGGGGGUCCGAGUUGUAAUUUGUAGAGGAUGCUUCGGGUGUGGCCGCCGUCUAAGUUCCUUGGAACAGGACGUCAGAGAGGGUGAGAAUCCCGUCUUGGGCGGCCGGUCCGCGCCCGUGUGAAGCUCCUUCGAAGAGUCGAGUUGUUUGGGAAUGCAGCUCUAAGCGGGUGGUAAAUUUCAUCUAAAGCUAAAUACUGGUCGGAGACCGAUAGCGCACAAGUAGAGUGAUCGAAAGGUUAAAAGCACCUUGAAAAGGGAGUUAAACAGCACGUGAAAUUGUUGAAAGGGAAGCGCUUGCGGCCAGACUCGGGGGCGGGGUUCAGCGGGUGCUCGUCGCCCGUGCACUCCCCGUCUCCCGGGCCGGCAUCAGUUUCGACGGCCGGUCAAAGGCCUCCGGAAUGUGUCGUCUCUCGGGACGUCUUAUAGNCCGGGGGUGCAAUGCGGCCCGUCGGGACUGAGGAACGCGCUUCGGCUCGGAUGCUGGCGUAAUGGCCGUAAGCGGCCCGUCUUGAAACACGGACCAA
rnacentral:rRNA from 1 species